rnacentral:rRNA from 1 species
AGCGGCGGAUGGGUGAGUAACACGUGGGGAACCUGCCCCUAAGUCUGGGAUACCAUUUGGAAGCAGGUGCUAAUACCGGAUAAUAAAGCAGAUCGCAUGAUCAGCUUUUGAAAGGCGACGUAAGCUGUCGCUAAGGGAUGGCCCCGCGGUGCAUUAGCUAGUUGGUAAGGUAACGGCUUACCAAGGCGACGAUGCAUAGCCGAGUUGAGAGACUGAUCGGCCACAUUGGGACUGAGACACGGCCCAAACUCCUACGGGAGGCAGCAGUAGGGAAUCUUCCACAAUGGACGCAAGUCUGAUGGAGCAACGCCGCGUGAGUGAAGAAGGUUUUCGGAUCGUAAAGCUCUGUUGUUGGUGAAGAAGGAUAGAGGUAGUAACUGGCCUUUAUUUGACGGUAAUCAACCAGAAAGUCACGGCUAACUACGUGCCAGCAGCCGCGGUAAUACGUAGGUGGCAAGCGUUGUCCGGAUUUAUUGGGCGUAAAGCGAGCGCAGGCGGAAAAAUAAGUCUAAUGUGAAAGCCCUCGGCUCAACCGAGGAACUGCAUCGGAAACUGUUUUUCUUGAGCGCAGAAGAGGAGAGUGGAACUCCAUGUGUAGCGGUGGAAUGCGUAGAUAUAUGGAAGAACACCAGUGGCGAAGGCGGCUCUCUGGUCUGCAACUGACGCUGAGGCUCGAAAGCAUGGGUAGCGAACAGGAUUAGAUACCCUGGUAGUCCAUGCCGUAAACGAUGAGUGCUAAGUGU